rnacentral:rRNA from 1 species
CUCCAGACUCCUACGGGAGGCAGCAGUGGGGGAUAUUGCACAAUGGGGGAAACCCUGAUGCAGCGAUGCCGCGUGAGUGAAGACGGCCUUCGGGUUGUAAAGCUCUGUCGCAGAGGACGAAAAUGACGGUACUCUGCAAGAAAGCUCCGGCUAACUACGUGCCAGCAGCCGCGGUAAUACGUAGGGGGCAAGCGUUAUCCGGAUUUACUGGGUGUAAAGGGAGCGUAGACGGCAGCGCAAGUCUGAAGUGAAAUCCCAUGGCAUAACCAUGGAACUGCUUUGGAAACUGUGCAGCUGGAGUGCAGGAGAGGUAAGCGGAAUUCCUAGUGUAGCGGUGAAAUGCGUAGAUAUUAGGAGGAACACCAGUGGCGAAGGCGGCUUACUGGACUGUAACUGACGUUGAGGCUCGAAAGCGUGGGGAGCAAACAGGAUUAGAUACCCGCGUAAC